AUACGGAGGAUCCGAGCGUUAUCCGGAUUUAUUGGGUUUAAAGGGAGCGUAGGUGGACAGUUAAGUCAGUUGUGAAAGUUUGCGGCUCAACCGUAAAAUUGCAGUUGAUACUGGCUGUCUUGAGUACAGUAGAGGUGGGCGGCAUUCGUGGUGUAGCGGUGAAAUGCUUAGAUAUCACGAAGAACUCCGAUUGCGAAGGCAGCUCACUGGACUGCAACUGACACUGAUGCUCGAAAGUGUGGGUAUCAAACAGGAUUAGAUACCCUGGUAGUCCACACAGUAAACGAUGAAUACUCGCUGUUUGCGAUAUACAGUAAGCGGCCAAGCGAAAGCAUUAAGUAUUCCACCUGGGGAGUACGCCGGCAACGGUGAAACUUAAAGGAAUUGACUGGG
rnacentral:rRNA from 1 species